rnacentral:rRNA from 1 species
GACGAACACUGGCGGCGUGCCUAAUACAUGCAAGUAGAACGCUGAAGGAGGAGCUUGCUCUUCUGGAUGAGUUGCGAACGGGUGAGUAACGCGUAGGUAACCUGCCUGGUAGCGGGGGAUAACUAUUGGAAACGAUAGCUAAUACCGCAUAAGAGUAGAUGUUGCAUGACAUUUGCUUAAACGGUGCAAUUGCCUCACUACCAGAUGGCCCUGCGUUGUAUUAGCUAGUUGGUGGGGUAACGGCUCACCAAGGCGACGGUACAUAGGCAACCUGGGAGGGUGGUCUGCCAACCUGGGAAUUGGACCCGGCCCAGACCCCUUAGGGGGGCAGCAGGAGGGGAUCUUCGGCAAUGGGCGGAAGUCUGACCGAGGAACGCCGCGUGAGGGAAGAAGGGUUUCGGAUCGUAAAGCUCUGUUGUUAGGGAAGAACGAGUGUGAGAGUGGAAAGUUCACAUUGUGACGGUAUCUUAACAGAAAGGGACGGCUAACUACGUG